CACACCUUUGGCUGUUGCUUCUGCGCUAGUACCUACAUUUCCUGUUCAACCCCCUAACCAACCCCCACCCUGGCCCCUUCCGAUUCUGCUCAGGAAAAUUCAUGCUCAAAGUUAUUACAAAAUUCAGCUAGGAGCUUCCUUCACUCUGUGGCCCCUCCCCUAUUUUAUUACCUUUAAUAACAUUAUAGAAAGCAUUCUUAUUGGGCUGAUGUUUCGACAAAAGGGAGAGAAUAAGAAAUAAUCCAUUAACUUCAUAUUGUGUUUCCUUCUUCAUAUUUUUGAGAUUCGGAAGAACAACUAUACUUGAGCCAAAUAUUAACAAGAACC
rnacentral:lncRNA from 10 species